rnacentral:rRNA from 1 species
CCUGGCGGCCAUAGCGCCGUGGAACCACCUGAACCCAUGCCGAACUCAGAAGUGAAACGCGGUAGCGCCGAUGGUAGUGUGGC